rnacentral:rRNA from 1 species
AACGAACGCUGGCGGCAUGCCUAACACAUGCAAGUCGAACGAACCCUUCGGGGUUAGUGGCGCACGGGUGCGUAACGCGUGGGAAUCUGCCCUUUGCUUCGGAAUAACUCAGGGAAACUUGUGCUAAUACCGGAUGAUGUCUUCGGACCAAAGAUUUAUCGGCAAGGGAUGAGCCCGCGUAGGAUUAGGUAGUUGGUGGGGUAAAGGCCUACCAAGCCGACGAUCCUUAGCUGGUCUGAGAGGAUGAUCAGCCACACUGGGACUGAGACACGGCCCAGACUCCUACGGGAGGCAGCAGUGGGGAAUAUUGGACAAUGGGCGCAAGCCUGAUCCAGCAAUGCCGCGUGAGUGAUGAAGGCCCUCGGGUCGUAAAGCUCUUUUACCAGGGAUGAUAAUGACAGUACCUGGUGAAUAAGCUCCGGCUAACUCCGUG